rnacentral:rRNA from 1 species
AGAGUUUGAUCAUGGCUCAGAACGAACGCUGGCGGCAGGCCUUAUACAUGCAAGUCGAGCGCAUCCUUCGGGAUGAGCGGCGGACGGGUGAGUAACGCGUGGGAAUGUGCCCUUCUCUACGGAAUAGCCACUGGAAACGGUGAGUAAUACCGUAUACGCCCUUAGGGGGAAAGAUUUAUCGGAGAAGGAUCAGCCCGCGUUAGAUUAGGUAGUUGGCGGGGUAACGGCCUACCAAGCCUACGAUCUAUAGCUGGUUUUAGAGGAUGAUCAGCCACACUGGGACUGAGACACGGCCCAGACUCCUACGGGAGGCAGCAGUAGGGAAUCUUGGACAAUGGGGGAAACCCUGAUCCAGCCAUGCCGCGUGAGUGAAGAAGGCCUUAGGGUCGUAAAGCUCUUUCGCCUGUGAUGAUAAUGACAGUAGCAGGUAAAGAAACCCCGGCUAACUCCGUGCCAGCAGCCGCGGUAAUACGGAGGGGGUUAGCGUUGUUCGGAAUUACUGGGCGUAAAGCGCGCGUAGGCGGAUUGGAAAGUUGGGGGUGAAAUCCCGGGGCUCAACCCCGGAACUGCCUCCAAAACUGCCAGUCUAGAGUUCGAGAGAGGUGAGUGGAACUCCAAGUGUAGAGGUGAAAUUCGUAGAUAUUUGGAAGAACACCAGUGGCGAAGGCGGCUCACUGGCUCGA